UAACGUGUGGGCAACCUGCCCUGUACUGGGGAAUAAUCAUUGGAAACGAUGACUAAUACCGCAUGUGGUCCUCGGAAGGCAUCUUCCGAGGAAGAAAGGAUUUAUUCGGUACAGGAUGGGCCCGCAUCUGAUUAGCUAGUUGGUGAGAUAACAGCCCACCAAGGCGACGAUCAGUAGCCGACCUGAGAGGGUGAUCGGCCACAUUGGGACUGAGACACGGCCCAA
rnacentral:rRNA from 1 species